rnacentral:rRNA from 1 species
GACGAACGCUGGCGGCGUGCUUAACACAUGCAAGUCGAACGAUGAAGCUGGAGCUUGCUCCGGUGGAUUAGUGGCGAACGGGUGAGUAACACGUGAGCAAUCUGCCUUCAACACUGGGAUAACUCCGGGAAACCGGGGCUAAUACCGGAUAUGAAACCUGCGGGCAUCCGCGGGUUUGGAAAGUUUUCGGUUGAAGAUGAUCUCGCGGCCUAUCAGCUUGUUGGUGAGGUAAUGGCUCACCAAGGCGACGACGGGUAGCCGGCCUGAGAGGGCGACCGGCCACACUGGGACUGAGACACGGCCCAGACUCCUACGGGAGGCAGCAGUGGGGAAUAUUGGGCAAUGGAGGAAACUCUGACCCAGCGACGCCGCGUGCGGGAUGAAGGCCUUCGGGUUGUAAACCGCUUUCAGCAGGGAAGAAGCGAAAGUGACGGUACCUGCAGAAGAAGCACCGGCUAACUAUGUG